rnacentral:sRNA from 2 species
UGCAUCUGAAGCCUGACGAGGAUGAGAACCUCCGGGGGCAAGAGGUUCGACUCGAGCGCAGCGAGAGAACGUUGCGUCAGCAACGGCCCGCA